UACGAAGGGGGCUAGCGUUGCUCGGAAUCACUGGGCGUAAAGCGCACGUAGGCGGCUUCUUAAGUCAGGGGUGAAAUCCUGGAGCUCAACUCCAGAACUGCCUUUGAUACUGAGCAGCUUGAGUCCGGGAGAGGUGAGUGGAACUGCGAGUGUAGAGGUGAAAUUCGUAGAUAUUCGCAAGAACACCAGUGGCGAAGGCGACUUCCUGGCCUGUUCUUGACGCUGAGGCGCGAAAGCUAGGGUAGCAAACGGG
rnacentral:rRNA from 1 species